UCAUUGUUGUUUUUAACGGUGUAUAUUGUUAUUUCCACUGUUUUGUUGGUGUGUCCCAAUUGAGUGUUGGAUCUUCUUAUUUCUUAAUAUUAUGUUUUAUUGUUUUAUUUUGAGACAGAUGGACAGAAUGGAUUCUAUUAGAACCCUCUAAGUGGACCCCACAUGGCCUGAGAGUCACAUUACUUUUAAUCUGCCGCAGACUAUCGAAUUAUUUUCAUCAUUUCCUUGCGCCAAAACGCCCUAAACCCUCAUUUCAACCGUUUCCCUCUCUCGAUCUCCCUCUCUCGAAAUCCGCCAAACGCUCACCUCUCUCUUCCAGAAAGCAACACAGGAUGAAAUCGGAAGCGUUUCUUGUUCAUUUUUAUUUUAUCAAAAGAAGGGCAUGGAAAGUUGUGGAAAUGUCAUUUUCUAGGAAAUAGAAAAACAGGCAAUAGUGGAAAUGGCUCCUCUCCAUAGCCACCUCCACCAGUUAAUGAUACCAAUCCCUACAAUGUAUUCAGGCCUAGGGAGAAAGCCCAUCGGCUCCACACAAGAAGGAUGCGAAGGCGGGAGAACAAUGUUCAGUCCUUUGAAAAGCUUCGCCAGGUCAGGCGCAACUUGGACCAAGUAAAAAUAGUAUUAGAGGCUUUGAUUAAGAGGAGAAAAAGAGAGAGGUCAUGGACAGCAAAGUUAGCCUUCAGAGGAUCCAAAUCAAGUAUAAAGCAUGUGUCUGACAUCAUUUUCUCCUUUGCUUUGGCUGCGUUAAUUUGUUGGCAAUUCAGAAAAGGUGGCUAUUCUGCAAGUAUUUACCUAUAAAGUUCUAGUUAGUUAUCUGGGUAACUUCCUAUCAGAAAAAGUUAUCUUCUGACAUCUAUGUAAUUAAAGGCAAGCCAGGCUUCCUUUUGCGCUC